rnacentral:rRNA from 1 species
GAUGAACGCUGGCGGCGUGCCUAAUACAUGCAAGUCGAGCGAACGGACGAGAAGCUUGCUUCUCUGAUGUUAGCGGCGGACGGGUGAGUAACACGUGGAUAACCUACCUAUAAGACUGGGAUAACUUCGGGAAACCGGAGCUAAUACCGGAUAAUAUUUUGAACCGCAUGGUUCAACAGUGAAAGACGGUCUUGCUGUCACUUAUAGAUGGUUCCGCGCUGCAUUAGCUAGUUGGUAAGGUAACGGCUUACCAAGGCAACGAUGCAUAGCCGACCUGAGAGGGUGAUCGGCCACACUGGAACUGAGACACGGUCCAGACUCCUACGGGAGGCAGCAGUAGGGAAUCUUCCGCAAUGGGCGAAAGCCUGACGGAGCAACGCCGCGUGAGUGAUGAAGGUCUUCGGAUCGUAAAACUCUGUUAUUAGGGAAGAACAUAUGUGUAAGUAACUGUGCACAUCUUGACGGUACCUAAUCAGAAAGCCACGGCUAACUACGUG